CACAGAUACCCUAAUGCACCCCAGUAACCCAAGAGGACCCAUGGGGUCCCUAUAAUCAAAUCUUUGGAGUUUUUGUUUUUGUUUUGAGAGAGGGCCCCGAGUGGUUGUGUCUAUACUGAACAUGUAUAGACUUUUUUCCUUGUCAUUAUUCCCUAAACAAUAUAGCUCCAUAGCAUUUACACUGUAUGAGGUAUUAUAAGCAACAUAUAAUUUAAAGUAUACAGGAGGAUGUACAUGGGAUAUGUGAAAUACUACAGCAUUUU
rnacentral:lncRNA from 10 species